AUUGAACGCUGGCGGCAUGGCUAAGACAUGCAAGUCGAACGAUGAAGACCCCUUCGGGGGUGUAUGAAGUGGCGAAAGGGCGAGGAAUACAUUCCUACGUGCCUCGAGGUCAGGGAUAGCCCAGGGAAACCUGGAGUAAUACCUGAUGUGGUCUACGGAUCAAAGGCUUGCUGCCUUGAGAGCGGGGAAUGUCCUAUCAGGUUGUUGGUGAGGUAAAGGCUCACCAAGCCUAAGACGGGUAGCGGGUGUGAGAGCAUGACCCGCCGCAUCGGGACUGAGACACUGCCCGGACUCCUACGGGAGGCUGCAGUAACGAAUAUUCCGCAAUGCGCGAAAGCGUGACGGAGCAAUGCCGCGUGCAGGAUGAAGCCUUUCGGGGUGUAAACUGCUGUCAGGGUACAGGAACACAAUGACCAUACCCAAAGGAAGGGCCGGCUAACUUCGUG
rnacentral:rRNA from 1 species